UGACCCAAGCUUAAGAGCAGGUAUAAGGAACACGUUGAGAAGGCCAUCGAGUACGCGAGGAUGAUCGAAGAUUUCAACAAUCUGGUUGACUCGCUAACUCUAGCCUUCCAUUACUUGGGUCCAAAGCCCUUUGCUUUUGUCCUACGGAACAUUGAGAUUAAGGAAAAAAAGAGGAUGACGACAAAAUUUAAUCAAAGUAUGUACGCCUGAAUGAGGGCCAAGAAGAACGAGCCCCUUUCCAACCUUAGGGCCAUAAAUGUGCGGGUGAUGGAUAAGGGGGCCUUUGUCACCCCAGCUACCCCGGCUACUCCAGGCACUGAGAGGAUGAGGACAGCCUCCCCGGCUACCUUAGUUGAAGAAAUUAUUCCUCUCUAGAAUAAGAGGUAGCGUAUCGGGGAUAAGUUGAAGGAUAAAGCUAAUUUUAGAUUGUCUAGUGUCUAGGACGAUGCUGGGGUCGCGUUGGCACAGGUGCAAGAGACCUUUACUACCAAGGAGAUGAAGGUAUUUUCGGGCACGUCUCCCAACAAGGUUGUGGUUCAUCAUCUCCACAAGCUUGUCCAAGUGCUGGGGCAGAGCCUUCACAUUACCUCGGAGUAUCUUACUCAAGAGGCCAAGGUCAUGUCUGUGGUGUCCAAGGUGGAGGCCUUGAAGGCGGAGAAUUCAAAGUUGAAGAAAGAAUUGAUUGCCGCCAUGGAUGAGGCCAACAUUUUGAAGGAGAAGAUCAAGGUCAUGGGGGACAACCUCAGGGUUGAACGACUGUUGACGAUGGAGAAAGACAAAUAGCUCCAAGCGUCGAGGGAGAAACUCAAGACCAUUGCUGCUAAGGCCGUUGAGGCUUUUCAGCAGACUGAAGAGUAUAAUAUUGUGCUCUUCUGUUGGUACUUCAAAGGAUUUGAACUCUUGAGGCGAUACUUCGUCAAGCACCCGACUGGAGUGGAUUUGGAGAACCUCGAUCUUGGAGAAGUAGACAAAGAAAUGGUUGCUGACGACACCUCCCAGUCCACGACCCCUGUAGGUGAUGCCCCCGAGAGUGCUCCUUUGCCUCCACCUGAUGACGACCCAGCUAUAGAUGCUUGAACUUGUUACUUGUUUUUAUUUUUUUUAUUUUUUUGGGUGCUCGGUGUAUUCUGGGCCUUUUUAAUUCUAAUUCUAGAACAAUAUUUUUAUUCUAAUUUAAGAACAAUGUUUUUGGCCCAGUGUUUAUGGGCUU